rnacentral:rRNA from 1 species
UAUCUCUGUAGAGUCUGCAUAUCAAUAAGCGGAGGAAAAGAAACUAACAAGGAUUCCCCUAGUAACGGCGAGUGAAGCGGGAAGAGCUCAAAUUUGAAAUCUUAAAGGGUUUCCCUUUACGAAUUGUAGUUUAAAGAAGUGUUUUCUGUUGAGGUUUUGGUAAAAGUUCUUUGGAAUAGGACAUCAUAGAGGGUGAGAAUCCCGUAUUUGACCUUUACUUUCAACUUUGUGAUACACUUUCAAAGAGUCGGAUUGUUUGGGAAUGCAGUCCAAAAUGGGUGGUAAAUUUCAUCUAAAGCUAAAUAUUGGCGAGAGACCGAUAGCGAACAAGUACCGUGAGGGAAAGAUGAAAAGAACUUUGAAAAGAGAGUUAAACAGUACGUGAAAUUGUCAAAAGGGAAGCGUUUGACACCAGUGUUGUUUUUCUGAAAAUCAAUUAAAGAACUGUUUAUGCUAAGCUGUUUAGACUUUAUCAGCUAAUCUGUUUAGUUUUGAGCUUUUCUUUAAUGCACUUUUCAGUUAACAAGUCAACAUCAAUUUCUUUUGCUGUAAAAAAGCUUGAGGAAGGUGGCUUGAGAUUCGUCUUAAGUGUUUAUAGCCUCUUGCCUAUGCAGUCGGAGAGAUUGAGGUCUGCAGCGUAGAUCCUUCGGGGCUAAAUGCAUUUGUGCUAAGUUAUAGCAUUUUAUAGACAACUUGUUGACUAUGAUUUGUCUUGUAGCUUACUCGCUUAUGUUAUUUUACCUACGCUUAGGAUGUUGACGAUCAGCUGAGCGCG